rnacentral:misc_RNA from 1 species
GAUCAUUACCGAGUUAUUCAACUCAUCAACCCUGUGAACUUACCUAAACGUUGCUUCGGCGGGAAUAGACGGCCCUGUAAAACGGGCCGCCCCCGCCAGAGGACUCUUAACUCUGUUUCUUAUAAUGUUUCUUCUGAGUAAAACAAGCAAAUAAAUUAAAACUUUCAACAACGGAUCUCUUGGCUCUGGCAUCGAUGAAGAACGCAGCGAAAUGCGAUAAGUAAUGUGAAUUGCAGAAUUCAGUGAAUCAUCGAAUCUUUGAACGCACAUUGCGCCCGCCAGUAUUCUGGCGGGCAUGCCUGUUCGAGCGUCAUUACAACCCUCAGGCCCCCGGGCCUGGCGUUGGGGAUCGGCGGAGCGCCCCUCGUGGGCGCACGCCGUCCCCCAAAUACAGUGGCGGUCCCGCCGCAGCUUCCAUCGCGUAGUAGCUAACACCUCGCGACUGGAGAGCGGCGCGGCCACGCCGUAAAACACCCCAACUCUUCUGAAGUUGACCUCGAAUCAGGUAGGAAUACCCGCUGAACCUAAGCAUAUC